rnacentral:lncRNA from 1 species
GUAAGCUCAAAUGGGAGGAACACAGCGUGUGCACAAGGCUCCAGUGUGAUCAGCUGCAUCAUGUUGCUACGCUCUGUCACCUUUGCUUUUCUGCAAAUGAAGAAGCAGACAUUGAAGAUUAGGAUAUUCAAAAGCAACUGCAUAUAUGAGGAAAAUUAGGAAGUGCCUGUGCAUGCCCAGCAAAAGGCAGAGGCUCAGAAAAGACCUGAGAAGAACUUAAGUAUACACCUUAGGCUGAUCCAUGGCACAGAAACAGCCUACAACAACCAGCAAAACAAAAAACAAAAACAGCAAACUUUGGGUAAGGGGGAAAUCUGAUUUCCAUAUUACCUCAUUAGAUUCAAAAGUCCACUUUCCAACAACAACAAAAAAUCACAAGGCAUACAAAGAAAUAAGAAAGUAUCACUCAUUUAAAGAAAAAAAAUAAAACAACAGUAACUGUCCCUGAAAAAGCCCUGAUGGCUAAUAUACUGGACAGAGACUUUAAAACAACUGUCUUGAAGAUGCUCAAAGAAAUAAAGGCAGAUGUGGAGAAAGCCAAGAAAACAACGUUUGAACAAAAUGGAAAUAUAAAUAAAGACAGAAAACCAAAAAAGAAACCAAAAAGAAAUUCUGGAGCAGAAAAAAAAACUGAAGUGAUAAAUUUACUAGAGGGAUUCAAAAGCAAUUUUAAUGAGGUGGAAGAAAGAAUCAGUGAAUGUGAAGAUAGGGCAAAGGAAAAUAUUCUCAGGAAUAGAAAGAAAAAAGAUUGAAGAAAAGUGAACAGAGCAAAAGGGACUUGAGGGACACAAUAAAGAGGACAAACAUAUGUGUUAUGGGAGUCCUAGAAAAAGAAGAGAGGGAGAAAGAACAGAAAGUAUACUUGAAGAAAUAAGGGCUGAAAACUUCCCAAAUUUGAGGAAAGAUGUGAAUACAAACAUCUAAGAAGUUUAACAAUCUCUAAGUAGGAAGAACUUUAAGAUAUCCACAUUGAGACACGUUGUAAUUAAACUUCCCACAGCCAAAUACAAAGACAGAAUCUUGAAAUCAGUGAAACUGCAGUGAUUCAUCACGAUACAUGGGAUCCUCAAUAAAAUUAUCAGCAGAUUUGUUAUCAGAAAAUUUGAAAAAACAAAAACAAAACCCUGUAACCAAGAAUCCUACAGCUAGGAAAAUGGGACUUCAGAUGUGAGGGUGGAAUUAAGAUUUCCCAGAUAAACAAAAGUUGAGGGAGUUUGUUACCUGUAGACUGCUCUGCAAAAAAUGCUAAAAGGAGCCCUUCUGAAUGAAAUGAAAAGAUACUGGAUAGUAACUUGGAGCUGUAUGAAGAAAUAAAGAUUUCAGUAAAGGUAAAUACAUAAGCAAUUGUAAAAGCUAGUAUUAUUUUAGCACUAGUUUGUAACUCCACUUUUUUCUAUAUGAUUUAAGAUGCUAAUACUUUUUUUAAAAGCAAUUAUUAGUCUAAAAGCUAGUAUCAUUGUAACUUUGGUUUUUAACCCCACAUUUUGAUUUCUAUGUUAUUUAAAAGGCUAAUGCAUUUUUAAAAAUUAUUGAUGUUUUUGGAAGUAUCGUGUAUGUGAUUUUGUGACAUCAACAACUGAAAACAGUGGGAAUGAAGAUAUAAAAGAGCAGCACUUUGUAUAAUAUUGAAGUUCAGCUGAUAUAAAUCCAAAUUAAGAGUAUUUGACUUUAGGAUACCAAAUGUCAUCUGCAUAGUAACUACAAGAAAAACAGACGUAGAAUAUAAAAAAAAAAGAAAAAAAUUCAAACAUGUCACUACACAAAAUCAACUAAACACAAAAGCAGACAAAUGCAGGAAAUGGAAAACCAAAAAAGUGAUAAGACAUAUAGGAAAAAGAAUAGCAACAUGACGGAAGCAGGUCCCUCUUUAUCAGUCAGCCAUAAAAAGGAAGGAAAGUCUGACACAGGCUUCAGUACAAACAAAUUUUGAGGACAUUACAUUAGGUGAAAGAAGCCAGUCACAAAAUGAGAAAUACUGUAUGAUCCCAUUUAUAUGAAGUACACGGAGUAGACAAACUCAUAAGACAAAAAGUAGAAGGGUGCCAGCCAAGGGCUCAAGGAAGAAGGGAAUUAGGAGUUAUUGUUUAAUGGAUUAGCAUUUCAGUUCUGCAAGAUGAAAAGAGUUCUGGAGAUGGAUGGGGGGUGAUGGUUGUACAACAAUAUGAACGUACUCAAUG